UCCGGGCCGGGCCCGCACGCGCACCAUCCGGGCCUCCGGAGCCUCACACACGUGUCAUCACGACCUUUAAAGGAGCCACACUGCAGAGUGCGCCCCGAGGCCGCGAGGAGAGCCCUGCCAGUCUACGCGAUGACGCAAGCGCGCAGCGCUAAAAGCUCCGGAAGCACCCUGGAGUCCGGAGACUCGGCUGCGGCCUGGCGCGGUUCCCGCGGAGUAGGUGAGGUGGCGUCACUUCCGCCUGCGUGCCUGACCCCGCGAUUGCGCAGGCCUGCGCUAGACCGUGAAUGGUUGGAAGCUGGGUACCGGCUACGCACAGGGCUGAAGGCUCUGCAGUGACGCCGGUACAGAGAGUGCAAGCCUGGCCAUCCUGGGACCGAGUCUUUGAAGAUUUCACCAUUUGUUAAUUUCUUGGCUGCUGGUGUCCUUUUGAAAAAGACCAGCAAGCGGGGCUUGGGAUGAGGCCCCGGGUUCCAUCCUUCACUGCCUGAACCAGGCGUGGCGGCACAAGAAUGCAGUUACUGCAAUUCUGAGGAGUGGCGGCCGGGAUGAUGAGAACUUAAAAGUCGUCCUUGGGACACAAGAUAUUCUGUCUGUAGAUAAAUAAAGCAAAAGUCACUUCACCCUCUGAAGUGGCUGAGAUUGGAGGAUCAUGGAAAAUGUCCGGGACCGCGUAGGAAAUCCUGUUAGCCUAUGCCUAUGUCUAGCUAUAAAAAUGCCCCCUUUAGAGCUAGAGAGGUUCAGAGGGCUUGUUCUUGCCCAGGACUUCCCAGCGCCUACACACUGGCUCAAAACCUCCUGUAACACCAACUCCGCAGGACUUUUUGACCUCUAAGGGCACCUGCACACACAUGUCAUAUACUCACAGAUGAAAACACACAUAAACGGUAAAGAAAAAAGAAACGUUCUCUUAAUUUUUUUUUUGUUUUUGCUUUUCGAGACAGGGUUUCUCUGUGUAGCCCUGGCUGUCCUAGAUCUCUAUCUGUAGCCCAGGCUGGCCUUGAGCUCACAGAGAUCCGCCUGCCUCUGCCUCCCGAGUGCUGGGAUUAAAGGUGUGUGUGCUCCACUGGCUUUUGCUUAAUUUAUUAAAGAUUUACUUUUAUUA